rnacentral:tRNA from 1 species
GCCUCGGUAGCUCAGCCUGGCCAGAGUAUAGCGGCCAAAGCGCUUCCUUGGUAAGGAAGAGGUCGCGGGUCCAAAUCCCGCCCGAGGCU